rnacentral:rRNA from 1 species
UGGGGAAUUGUUCGCAAUGGGCGCAAGCCUGACGACGCAACGCCGCGUGGAGGAUGAAGAUCUUCGGGUUGUAAACUCCUUUCGAUCGAGACGAAUGGCCCUUGGGCUAACAUCCUGAGGGAGUGACGGUACCGAGAGAAGAAGCCCCGGCUAACUCCGUGCCAGCAGCCGCGGUAAUACGGGGGGGGCAAGCGGUGUUCGGAAUUACUGGGCGUAAAGGGCUCGUAGGCGGCCAACUAAGUCAUACGUGAAAUCCCUCGGCUUAACCGGGGAACUGCGUAUGAUACUGGAUGGCUUGAGUUCGGGAGAGGGAUGCGGAAUUCCAGGUGUAGCGGUGAAAUGCGUAGAUAUCUGGAGGAACACCGGUGGCGAAGGCGGCAUCCUGGACCGAUACUGACGCUGAGGAGCGAAAGCCAGGGGAGCAAACGGG